CUCAUAACGUUAGGCUCUAACAGUGAAUGAUGAAAUGUUUGAUGCUGGUGAUCUGUUUAACAAUGGAGGUUUCAACUAAAAUGUAUCUUAUUCAGACAGCAGAGAGAAACAUGGGGGCCUCAGCAUCAGCCAUUUCCCCCUUCGUGGCUCCUGCAUCGGAACCUAACCUGCAUUCUUCCAAGGAUCCAUCAGAGCCUCGAAAUCCCUUAAACAGAUUGAGUGUCUCCUACUCAUCAGAUUAUAAUAACGGACUGGCGCGCCUAGGCUCUGAGUGGUGGUUAUUAUAAAAAUGGACUGACGCCAGGCUCUCAGUGGUGGUUAUGAUUUUAAGUAGUUAAAUAAACAUGAAAACAAAGCAAUUUGA
rnacentral:lncRNA from 1 species